CUGUAGGGGGUGGGCGCCUGCGGAGAUCAGGGGCCGAGACCGCGGACCUGGGCUUGGUGCAGGGGAGGCGGAGGUAGCACCCCACGCGGGCCCCGCAUCGCCCCGCCGCCGCCCCAUUUGCGGGGGGCCAAGAAGGGGCAGUGAACUUGGCUGCCCUCUCGGAACCACCUUCCCCCAACACACACUUCGGCCAGCGGAUCCCGCGCCCAGGCUCGGGGUGGGGGCGCGCCUUGGCGGGUUUGCGCCUGGGUGGUUCCCGGGUGCCCGGCCCCGGCUUGUUUACGAGCAUCACAUUAGUCCGUCACCGGUGAGCUCUGGAUCGGCAGCAGCUUCGGUGCCCCUUCCUGGAAGGAGAGUCGGGGUGCGGGAGGGGGCGCGGAUGCGGCGCCCUCUACCCCAGGCCGCGCUGGCGGCGGCCGCUGGCGGGAUCCCACCCGCUCAGGGGCGCCCUUCCCCCGCACCCGGUCGUGGGCUCUUUCCGGGGCGUCAUCAGCGCCAUUCACUCGUCAGGUUCUCGGGAAGUUGAAAUCGGCUGUUGGGGAUGUAAUAGGAGAAAGAGAAGGAGGACGGGCAGGCGUGGAGAACUGCAGUUUCCAUAGUGCCGGGAAGAGGGCGGGCUCCAGCGAGCACACAGCCCCGGGAGCCGGGUCCCCGCCGCGGGUGCCCUCCUCCCGCCCGACCCUCGGCACCGCGUGGGGGAGGCGCAGGAGCGGGCGGCUGCAGACCUGCGCGCGCUUAGCCCGCAGUCUGUGCCGCGUGGAAGACGCCCUUGAAGAAGUGCUUCGAGUGUUUACAUCUACGUGGCUUUUGUGACUUUCAAAGUCGAUUACAAAUGAGGACUCACCCGGUACAAUCGCAUCUCCCAAAUGACAGUGAGGGCUACUGAUCUUGUUGCCCUUUGGAUGGGAACAGCUGUUGCCUAGCGAUCUGUCCAAUGAGAGAGGAGAGAUGGGGGAUUCUUAUCUGAGCACUGGAAGAAAAUGUGGCCCGGUCCCAUCCACUUUGUGAGGAUUUGCAGUAGGUGGGCCUGCCUACACAGUCAGAAACUCUAACUAGCCGAGGGCGCUGGUAGGGGCGACUUCUCUUCAGCAUCAUGCCAGAGUAAUUUCUUCUGAGAAAGUAUUUCUCUUUGAUUUGGGCUUUUGAUACAAAAUUAAGUUUCCAAAUAGUCCCUGAAUAUGUAUUUGCUGUGCUCAUUGGAAGGUAACAAGUCCAUCUUGGGUUUGUUUUUUCCCUUGGAGCUGUUCUGGUGUAGGACGCCAAGGUUCAAGUUCAGGUGUCAAGCCCUCCUGGAGGCAGUAGGCAUUUCCUCCAUGAGCUACAGCCUCAGUCAAUGGUUAGGGGGCAGACAGGGUGGGGUGAAGUGUUAUCACCUCCAUGGGGGCGUCUCAUGCAUCUAGAUCCCAAAUCUGCAGCAAAACUGCAAGCUCAUUGUCAUUCUGAAAUCCUAGGACCUCUAACUACAAGUGUGGGAACACACUUUCCAUUCUCAUUAGGAAGUCAGUCCAUGAAACCAGCAGAAAGGAACUCUGUAGUUAGAAGUACCCCAUCCUCUUCCUCAGCAAAGGAACUGGUUGUCUUUCCCCGUCGAUUGCCAAAUAGGCUAUUUAUUUAUUUAAAACUUGUUUCUCACCUUGUGAUUUUCCAGCUGUUCUCCCAGACUUUUCCAGCAAGUCAGCCGUUAACAUCUGCCAACCUGCUCUCCACACAGGGCUGGGUGCUGCUUGUGUGGCCUGUUGCCAACAAGAGCCUGGAUGAAAUUUUUUCUCAUGGUCCAAGAUCUUUCGUUGGAAGUCCUCUUUCCUUUCAUGGGUAAUAAAAUCGUCAUCUCUUUCA